CUCUGGUGCCUGUGACGUGCGACACAAAGGCAAUUGAGGGCUUAUGUGAAUCUACACAGUCGGAUGCGAAACGAACAAUGAAAUACAAGUGUAAACGCACGUGCGGCUUCUGUACUGCAAGAGACAUACAAAGGGGUCGAUGUGAAGACAAACUUGAAUACGACACGUGUGAAGUCAUCAAGAAGAGAAAGCUCUGCCUGAACCCGGUCAAGCGGCAGCGAUGUAUGAAGACAUGUGGAAAAUGUCAGGACGUCACUACCUGCCUUCCACGACAACCAGUCACUACCUGCAGCCAGGUG